rnacentral:rRNA from 1 species
UACAGAGGGUGCAAGCGUUGUUCGGAAUUAUUGGGCGUAAAGCGCGUGUAGGCGGCUUUGCAAGUCGGGUGUGAAAGCCCUCAGCUCAACUGAGGAAGUGCGCCCGAAACUGCAGAGCUUGAGUGCCGGAGAGGGUGGCGGAAUUCCCCAAGUAGAGGUGAAAUUCGUAGAUAUGGGGAGGAACACCGGUGGCGAAGGCGGCCACCUGGACGGUGACUGACGCUGAGACGCGAAAGCGUGGGGAGCAAACAGG